rnacentral:rRNA from 1 species
GACUACAAGGGUAUCUAAUCCUGUUUGCUCCCCACGCUUUCGUGCCUCAGCGUCAAUCUAGGUCCAGCAAGCUGCCUUCGCAAUCGGUGUUCUAUGGCAUAUCUAUGCAUUUCACCGCUACAUGCCACAUUCCGCCUACCUCAACCUGAUUCAAGUCUGACAGUAUCAAUCGCACGACCGCCGGUUAAGCCGGGGUAUUUCACAACUGACUUAUCAAACAGCCUACGCACCCUUUAAACCCAGUGAUUCCGGAUAACGCUUGCACCCUCCGUAUUACCGCGGCUGCUGGCACGGAGUUAGCCGGUGCUUAUUCUAAUGGUACCCUCAAGCCCCGAGCACGUCGGAGUUAUUGUUCCCAUUUAAAAGAAGUUUACAACGCUGAGCGCCUUCUUCCUUCACGCGGCAUGGCUGGAUCAGGCUUCCGCCCAUUGUCCAAUAUUCCUUACUGCAGCCCCCCGUAGG